AGAGUUUGAUCCUGGCUCAGGAUGAACGCUGGCGGCGUGCUUAACACAUGCAAGUCGAGCGAAGCGGUUUGAAGGAAGUUUUCGGAUGGAAUUCAAAUUGACUGAGCGGCGGACGGGUGAGUAACGCGUGGGUAACCUGCCUCAUACAGGGGGAUAACAGUUAGAAAUGACUGCUAAUACCGCAUAAGCGCACAGUGCCGCAUGGUACGGUGUGAAAAACUCCGGUGGUAUGAGAUGGACCCGCGUCUGAUUAGGUAGUUGGUGAGGUAAUGGCUCACCAAGCCAGCGAUCAGUAGCCGACCUGAGAGGGUGACCGGCCACAUUGGGACUGAGACACGGCCCAAACUCCUACGGGAGGCAGCAGUGGGGAAUAUUGGACAAUGGGGGAAACCCUGAUCCAGCGACGCCGCGUGACUGAAGAAGUAUUUCGGUAUGUAAAGGUCUAUCAGCAGGGAAGAAAAUGACGGUACCUGACUAAGAAGCCCCGGCUAACUACGUGCCAGCAGCCGCGGUAAU
rnacentral:rRNA from 1 species